UACGUAGGUUCCAAGCGUUGUCCGGAUUUACUGGGCGUAAAGGGUGCGCAGGCGGCCUUGUUAGUCAGAGGUGAAAUCUCACUGCUCAACAGUGAAACUGCCUUUGAUACUUCAGGUCUUGAAUCCAGAAGAGAGUUGUGGAAUUCCGAGUGUAGCAGUGAAAUGUGUAGAUAUUCGGAAGAACACCAGCGGCGAAGGCAGCAACUUGGUCUGGUAUUGACGCUCAGGCACGAAAGCAUGGGGAUCAAACAGG
rnacentral:rRNA from 1 species